CCGAAUAUUGAUUUAAGUGGGAGGAAAGAAAAAAAAUGCCAAAUGGAGCUCCAUGAAUAAUAUUUUUUUGAAGAGCUAUUAACAAAUGAUUCCAAACUAUAAAAGCUUUAUCAGCCAAUGUCGGGUUAAUUGUCUGCCUCUGGCCUCGCUGCUAAGAAGAAGAAGAAGAAGAAACAUUCAGCCAAUAUCUCACAGAUUGUAGCACUAUACUACACUUAAGGUUGAGCCGUUGAGUUGGGUCCAUCAUCCAUGUCUUUUAUCAACUGGUUGUAUAAUUGUUUCGGCAAUUAACACCAUCAUCGGAGAGUGACCAAGGAUCGAUAAGGUUUAUUUGUGCACUUUAAUUAAUGUAUGAAAAAGCAGAUGGAGUGGCUCAUGAAACCUAGCAAACAAGAUAUGGCCACUUCCAACCCCAGCACAUGUGGAUCAUUGCAUUGGAUUUCUAGUUUGCCACGGUAGGACCUCUUGAUUUUUUUCCAUAUGCAAUUUCUUUUAAAAAAUAAAAAGUGGCUACAAAAACAUUAGCUCUAUCAUUUUAGACAUGUCCUAUAUCAAUACGAUUGUUGAAGUGUUUAUUUAAGAUUUCUUUCCGACAUGAAAAUUACAUACAAUAGCCAAUAAAUAUCUUAAGGUUUUAAAUAGAGAGAA
rnacentral:lncRNA from 1 species